rnacentral:lncRNA from 1 species
CUACACUUGAGGGAGGAAAGUGCAGGACACCGAGGGGACCUGUGUCUUGUGUUUCAGAUGGUUUUUCCCAUGGUGUUCCCUUUCCAAUGUCUUUCUGGAAGUCACACAUUGACCACUAACAACAGGAGAGAGGACAAAGAAAGGCAGCAAAAGACUAUUUCCAAUGCGAAAUAUGAUCAGACGAUUCUUCUUCCAGUGUGCCCCAAGGAAGCCAAAAGAUUGGACACCCCUGGAAACUCAUCAGUCAGAGGAGAUGUGAGUGAGAGGCCUCAAGUGACCCUUUCUGGAAAUUCUUCCAUAUGAAAACAUGGGAGGAGGGAGGUUUCCUAUGUAGGAACCACAUGUGCAAAAAUGGCAAAAGAAAGAGAGGAGCAAGAGAUCCGCUUAUGAUAAUCCAACAAAACGAUAACUGGAACAGAAAAGAAAACGACGGCCAAUCAAACCCCUGAGUGACUCCACAUUGUCUUUAAUUCUCCUCUAAUCAAAGAGCAGCACACAGUUGUGAGAGGUGGUCCGAGCCGGGGAGAUUAUGCAGAGAGUGACUCCAUUCAGAGAAAUUUUGGCAUGAUUCCUAACCUCUUAGCCUGAGGGAGAAUUUCUUAAAUUUUAUUUGUGGUUCUCACCUGAGAGAAUUGAUGCCUUCAAGAGAGCACCAGACAGAGGCUAAACAGACAUGCAAUAAAAUUAUCCUCCUUGGAUGGGUCAGGAGCUGGCUGAUAACUUACUCUAAGCCUACAUCAAUCAGGGAGCAGCAGGGGCAUCCACAGUCAAGGAGAGCUGAAGGUGGCAGGGCGUACAGCCGCAGAUCAUCUUAAAUAAAGAUAUAGAAGGCAGACUCUCAUAAAAGAAACCAUAAAUGAAACAAUGAAUAACGACUUCUGUUUAUCAUUCUCUAUUGUUUGCAACUUUCACAAUAAGCGUGUAUUGUUUUCUUAAAUAAAUAGCAAACAAUAAACUCAUAUUGAUAUGGCAUCAAUUUUCACUGAAUACCCUAAGAGGAAGCCAUGUUUUUCCUGCGUUUUGUAAAGCUUACAGGUGGAUUUCUUUUUUCUUUUCUUAAAAAGAGUACAUUCGGACUGAUCAGUGAGUUCAUGCAUCUGGGUAAAUGGAUAAGCA